AACUUUCUAAGGAAGGCAUCCCGCGGGAUGUCAGGACCUGGAAGCUGACUCGCUCCAAUGGACCAUCCCAGGAUCCUCGCUGAGGCUUCACAUGGCCGCACGGAAACACCUAGAGGGAGGGAAAGGCAAGACUGAGUGUGGUGAGGGCGGCGAUGAUGUGAUCAUGAGACUAAUAACAAGCCGAGCCAUUUGCUGCCCUAUGACAUCAGCUCUAGAAAAUGCUGACUCAAUAGACUUCAGUCUAAAAGCUCAACAAAUACUUAUGGAGGUCUUGCUAUGGGCCAAAUAACAGGCUAAAGACUUUAUAAAAUAUCCCACUUAUGAGCUCCUCGAAACACCAAUGGCAAGAAGUCGGUGUUGCCUUCUGUUUUCCAGAUGAGGAGGCCCGCUUACGAGAGCUGAGUCAUUCACUUCAUGUGACACAGCCAGGGCCCCACUGCUCCGCAGAAGCCUCCCAGCAUUACAACUUUUGUAAAGAAAGCAAGACAAACCAGUUUGAAGAACUUCAGCCUGACAUGGGCUGAGAUAACACAGGGAAGCAGAGCCAUACAACACGGGCCAAAACAAAAACCAUGAACGAGAUCGCACUGCCUGUCCCGGCGAUCGGUGCUGCAGGGAACGGACCUCAGCAAUGACCCGAAACCCAUCUGCACAGGCGUGUUUAUGGGAUACGAUUUACAAGCUGGAAGGGACCCAACCCCCCAGCCAUGAGUCACGAGCACUGGGCUCCGUAUCUCCUAAGUUUACAAAACGCCUUCACACGCGCCUUGACUCUUCGGGCCCUGCUCCCGUGAAACAUCACAGACUGAGUGGCUUAUGCAACAAACAUCUACUCCUCUCAGUCCCAGAGGCUGGGAAGUCCAAGGUCAGGGUGCUGGCGGAUGUCUGAUGGGGGCUCGCUUCCUGAUGGCAGCCUUCAGACUGUGUUCUCACCUGGCAGAGAGAGAAAGAGAGAGAGAGAGAGAGAUGGCGCCAGUCUGCAGGCUCUGAUAAGGGCACUGAUCCUGUCACGGUCCCCACCCUCGAGACCUCACCUAACCCUAAUUACCUCCCACGGGCGCCACCUCCAGGGACAACACACUGGGGGUUUCGAACGUCAGGGGGACACAGACACUCAGUCCAUAGCGACAGCGCUGUGUGCUUUGAUCCUCUCCAAGCCCCUUGUCAAGUGAAGGUCGAGGUUGAGCAACGUCCCCUCCUGGCCUCAGACCUGGGGUGAUACCACAGGUGAGGAAACAGAGGAGAGAGAAGCCAGGUGAAUGGUGCGCUCAUCUUGUUCCUGCCUGUGUUAGGGGCUCUCUGAUCCCUGUUUUAUUAGGUGACUGCUGCCCGCUCAGCACCCUGGACCCGCCUCUCAACAUACUGCUCUGGUGACAUCCGGUGAUCGUGGUCCCCUGCCCCCUUGGCGUGUCAGGAAUUGUGUCCUUACAUAUUCUUCCCUUUGCCCGUGACACUGGGCGCCUGGUUAAUAUCUCCUGCUGCUCCAAGCCGCUGCCCAGACAACACGUUAUCCCGAGAGCCUUCGCUGUAGGACAUCUUCCCUUGGAAGGAAGCCCUGAGCACCUUAGCACAGGGACCUGCAGGAAAGCACAGCUGCCAGGGACCCCAGACCAUCCAGAAUCGGUGCUUUUUUGCUCCCUCCCUCCCAGAAGGGAUGGUCAAGAUAAAUUCUAGAAUGUUCCCUGUCCCUGCUGGCCUGGCCACCUGCAGAAACACAGGCCAGCCUCAACAACCAGCACACCCGAACCCUCAUCCCCACUGUGCCAGGGCCCCGUCCUCUGUGCCCUUCUCUGUCUUCCCGUAUGCCUUCAGGGAGCUCA